ACUAAGUUUCAACAACGGAUCUCUUGGCUCUCGCAUCGAUGAAGAACGCAGCGAAAUGCGAUAAGUAAUGUGAAUUGCAGAAUUCAGUGAAUCAUCGAAUCUUUGAACGCACCUUGCGCCCCUUGGUAUUCCUUGGAGCAUGCCUGUUUGAGUAUCAUGAAAU
rnacentral:rRNA from 1 species